rnacentral:rRNA from 1 species
CAGCAGUGGGGAAUAUUGCACAAUGGGCGCAAGCCUGAUGCAGCCAUGCCGCGUGUAUGAAGAAGGCCUUCGGGUUGUAAAGUACUUUCAGCAGUGAGGAAGGUGGGUAUGUUAAUAGCAUAUUCAUUUGACGUUAGCUGCAGAAGAAGCACCGGCUAACUCCGUGCCAGCAGCCGCGGUAAUACGGAGGGUGCGAGCGUUAAUCGGAAUUACUGGGCGUAAAGCGCAUGCAGGUGGUUUGUUAAGUCAGAUGUGAAAGCCCGGGGCUCAACCUCGGAAUUGCAUUUGAAACUGGCAAACUAGAGUACUGUAGAGGGGGUAGAAUUUCAGGUGUAGCGGUGAAAUGCGUAGAGAUCUGAAGGAAUACCGGUGGCGAAGGCGGCCCCCUGGACAGAUACUGACACUCAGAUGCGAAAGCGUGGGGAGCAAACAGGAUUAGAUACCCUGGUAG